GUGCUUGCUUUGGCAGCACAUAUACUAAAAUUGGAAUGCUACAGAUAUUAGCAUGGCCCUGUGCAAGGAUGACACACAAAUUCAUGAAGCAUUCCAUAUUUUG
rnacentral:snRNA from 1 species